rnacentral:lncRNA from 1 species
CCGGCUUUCAUAAAAAAGAAUAAUUUUAAAAUGCAUUGUUUUUGUCUAAACAUCGAUCGAAAUGUUUUGAUGCCAAAAAUCAUUUGAAAACUUUUAAUUCCGUUAUUUAAAUACAUUCCAAUGUGGAUAUAAGGGCCUUCACUCGUUCAGCAUGCUCAAGUGGAUCAAACUGACAGCAGAAAAACAUUGACCCAACGUCAAUUCUUCUUCAGUCUUCUUCCAAUAAUUUACAUCAUACCACCUCUGGUGUAUUAUCGCAAAUUCGUAUAAUAUAGCAUCCAUAUUAAAAGCAACCAGCCUACGGUCAGCAUCUACUUCUUG